UACGUAGGGGCCUAGCGUUGUCCGGAAUCAUUGGGCGUAAAGCGCGCGUAGGCGGCCGUGUAAGUCCGUUCUGAAAGUCGGAGGCUCAACCUCCGAAAGCGGAUGGAUACUGCACGGCUAGAGUCCGGAAGAGGCGAGUGGAAUUCCUGGUGUAGCGGUGGAAUGCGCAGAUAUCAGGAGGAACACCAACGGCGAAGGCAGCUCGCUGGGACGGUACUGACGCUGAGGCGCGAAAGCGUGGGGAGCAAACAGG
rnacentral:rRNA from 1 species